rnacentral:lncRNA from 1 species
UUGUGCAUGUGUAUAAUGAUAAGAAAAAGGAGAUUUAGAUUUGUUUUCUAUAGAAGGUUUUAUAUCAUCUUCAUCAGAGUCAUAACCAAUUCAUUUUUUUUUAUUAUGACUAACACCAUAGAUCAUAGAAGCCAUUUUGCUUCUUUCAAGUCCGUUGUUCAUAAACUUUUGAAAAGCUUUUUCAUAUUUGUAUAUGAUAGUGUCAGAAGUAGGUGGAG